rnacentral:misc_RNA from 1 species
GUGAAUCAUCAAAUCUUUGAACGCAAAUUGCACUCCCUGGUAUUCCGGGGAGUAUGCCUGUUUGAGGGUCGUUAGAACAAAAAUCGACAUCGUUGCUGUUUCGCGGUGGCGUUCGUCGGAAAUUGGGUCAUCUUAAAUCCUUUUGAUUUAAGCGACUUAAAAUUUUCUUUUGGUUCCAUGAACGUUUCUAAGAUCUAUUUCUUUACACGUUUAAGGUAUCGAUUUUUACUAGACGUGACCAUCACAUCGGAUCGCGUCCAUAAUCUUUCAUUAACUGACCUCAGACAGGUAAGAGUACCCG